GAACGCUAGCUACAGGCUUAACACAUGCAAGUCGAGGGGCAGCAUGGUCUUAGCUUGCUAAGGCCGAUGGCGACCGGCGCACGGGUGAGUAACACGUAUCCAACCUGCCGUCUACUCUUGGACAGCCUUCUGAAAGGAAGAUUAAUACAAGAUGGCAUCAUGAGUCCGCAUGUUCACAUGAUUAAAGGUAUUCCGGUAGACGAUGGGGAUGCGUUCCAUUAGAUAGUAGGCGGGGUAACGGCCCACCUAGUCUUCGAUGGAUAGGGGUUCUGAGAGGAAGGUCCCCCACAUUGGAACUGAGACACGGUCCAAACUCCUACGGGAGGCAGCAGUGAGGAAUAUUGGUCAAUGGGCGCAGGCCUGAACCAGCCAAGUAGCGUGAAGGAUGACUGCCCUAUGGGUUGUAAACUUCUUUUAUAAAGGAAUAAAGUCGGGUAUGGAUACCCGUUUGCAUGUACUUUAUGAAUAAGGAUUGGCUAACUCCGUGCCAGCAGCCGCGGUAAUACGGAGGAUCCGAGCGUUAUCCGGAUUUAUUGGGUUUAAAGGGAGCGUAGAUGGAUGUUUAAGUCAGUUGUGAAAGUUUGCGGCUCAACCGUAAAAUUGCAGUUGAUACUGGAUAUCUUGAGUGCAGUUGAGGCAGGCGGAAUUCGUGGUGUAGCGGUGAAAUGCUUAGAUAUCACGAAGAACUCCGAUUGCGAAGGCAGCCUGCUAAGCUGCAACUGACAUUGAGGCUCGAAAGUGUGGGUAUCAAACAGGAUUAGAUACCCUGGUAGUCCACACGGUAAACGAUGAAUACUCGCUGUUUGCGAUAUACUGCAAGCGGCCAAGCGAAAGCGUUAAGUAUUCCACCUGGGGAGUACGCCGGCAACGGUGAAACUCAAAGGAAUUGACGGGGGCCCGCACAAGCGGAGGAACAUGUGGUUUAAUUCGAUGAUACGCGAGGAACCUUACCCGGGCUUAAAUUGCAGAUGAAUUACGGUGAAAGCCGUAAGCCGCAAGGCAUCUGUGAAGGUGCUGCAUGGUUGUCGUCAGCUCGUGCCGUGAGGUGUCGGCUUAAGUGCCAUAACGAGCGCAACCCUUGUUGUCAGUUACUAACAGGUUCCGCUGAGGACUCUGACAAGACUGCCAUCGUAAGAUGUGAGGAAGGUGGGGAUGACGUCAAAUCAGCACGGCCCUUACGUCCGGGGCUACACACGUGUUACAAUGGGGGGUACAGAGGGCCGCUACCACGCGAGUGGAUGCCAAUCCCAAAAACCUCUCUCAGUUCGGACUGGAGUCUGCAACCCGACUCCACGAAGCUGGAUUCGCUAGUAAUCGCGCACCAGCCACGGCGCGGUGAAUACGUUCCCGGGCCUUGUACACACCGCCCGUCAAGCCAUGGGAGCCGGGGGUACCUGAAGUGCGUAACCGCGAGGAGCGCCCUAGGGUAAAACUGGUGACUGGGG
rnacentral:rRNA from 1 species